rnacentral:rRNA from 1 species
UACGUAGGGUGCGAGCGUUGUCCGGAAUUAUUGGGCGUAAAGAGCUCGUAGGCGGUCUGUCGCGUCGGUCGUGAAAACUUGGGGCUUAACCCUGAGCUUGCGGUCGAUACGGGCAUGACUGGAGUUCGGCAGGGGAGACUGGAAUUCCUGGUGUAGCGGUGAAAUGCGCAGAUAUCAGGAGGAACACCGGUGGCUAAGGCGGCUCUCUAGUACGGUACUGACGCUGAGACGCGAAAGCGUGGGGAGCGAACAGG